rfam:Rhizoctonia solani 123E scf_964, whole genome shotgun sequence.
UCUUUCCUAGAUGGGGAGUUGUGACUCCAACGACCCCAAGACCCGUCCGUGUGGGCUAUUGCCCAGGCUGGCCGUCAAAGUUAGUACAGACUAUACGCGAUAAAGCACGACCUAGGCGCGUUUGAUGACGGU